AACGCGAAGAACCUUACCUGGCCUUGACAUGUGCGUAGUAGAAGGGUGAAAGCCCGACGAGGUAGCAAUACCAGCGUACACAGGUGCUGCAUGGCUGUCGUCAGCUCGUGUCGUGAGAUGUUGGGUUAAGUCCCGCAACGAGCGCAACCCUUGUGUCCUGUUGCCACCCCGGCGUGAGCCGGGAGCACUCUGGACAGACUGCCUCGCUUAAACGAGGAGGAAGGUGGGGAUGACGUCAAGUCAGUAUGGCCCUUACGGCCAGGGCUGCACACGUACUACAAUGCCCGGCACAAAGGGAAGCAAGACUGCAAAGUGGAGCAAAUCCCCAAAAACCGGGCCCAGUUCAGAUUGUCGUCUGCAACUCGACGGCAUGAAGUUGGAAUCGCUAGUAAUGGCGCAUCAGCUACGGCGCCGUGAAUACGUUCCCGGGCCUUGUA
rnacentral:rRNA from 1 species